CGGCACAGCCCUGCCCGGAGGCAGCACCAGGCUGAGCCUGCCUCCCCGCGUGUGACCGGGUGUUACUGGAGCAACAUCCCCGCGGGAGGGAAGGAAGGAGGAAGCUGGGCUGUAAAGAAAUAAAACCACUGCAGAGCCGACUGCGAGAGAAGAGAGAGGAAGAGACAGGCUGGCUGGAAAGGACAGCUUUGCUGCGCCCAGGAGAAAAUGGUCUGAGUAAUUAUCAAUGCCUGCCGCUAUGUGGCCAGGAAGAUGGGGACCCUGUGCCACCGGGAGCGCCAGGAGCCACCACCCUGCCCACUGCAGGCAGCCCCCCACCGCCACCACCAAAAUGUAAAGGCAGAGGUAUCAGCAGCCCCCCAAGCACGAGCCUCGCUUCCCAGGAACAGCAACCCCAUCCAAGACCAGCCCUGCAGGUCCUGAGGGUAAAAGCGCUCGUGGUCCUGCCCUGAAGGCCACGAGCUUUCCUCCCACCAGAUUUCCCAGAGAAUGCGUUUGCUGGGAAUCCUGCAGCCCAGGGAUUGGAAAAUAUCAGCAAAUCCCUCCUGUAUCUGCUCUCAACACAGAAGCACAACGACAGAAAAUGUCCUGAUCAGUCUCUCUUUACCAGAAUUUUCCAGCUGGCAGAAAAAAAAGAUUGUCAAUGUAUAUCAGAUGCUCCCAGCACUUUUGGGCUGUGGAGCACCAGGGGAAGAGCAUGAGCCAUUGCAUCCUAGCAGCAAAUCAGAUUUUUAUACUGUGAAACCAAAUUGUGCCCCUAAUGAUAUUGGUAUACACUCAGACAAUUUCCAUGAAGGUAAAAUCAGCUCCUGAGCUGGAGUAAGGAGUCUUAGAGCUUAGGUCUGUGGAAAUCCCAUGAUGUUUUGUACGACCCCCUUCCCCAUGCCCAGUAAGCUGGUUAAGCUGUCCUUACUGGGCAGCCAGCACCCCGGUGUGAUGCACAGCACCCACAGAGCAGAGGGCUGCAGGGACCACAGUCGGAUCCCCCCUCUAGCAAACCCUGCACCGUCACAGAGAGCAAUGACAGCAGAAUCGCAAACUCCGCAUGUGCGGGGAGGAAUCUGCCUGACCCCUUCCUGUGACAGCCCAAGCUGAACCAGAAAUAAAGACAGAUGAAAAGAG